ensembl:lncRNA
CCCGUCCUGCCUGUCCUCCCUGUCCUCUCAGUCCUCCCUGUCCUCCCAGUCCUCUCAGUCCUCCCCGUCCUCCCGAGUCACUAGUUGGUCACGUGACUCGUCGGUGUGGUGGAGAUGAUCACAUCCUCCUGUAGAGCAGUAAUCUGGGGUUAUGUGGGCAGCAGCGUUACGUAACCAACCGGCUUUUUAUCACCACGAUCUGAGCUGCUGUCAAAGCUCAAAACACAGAUUUUCAAGUCAAAUCACAGGAAGAUGGAGAGACGGAACGGAGGACUCCUUCUGUUGUGCACCGUUACAUAAGCAGCUUUGAUUAUUAUUAAUUAGCAUAAAGGGGAAUUAAGGAGGCGUCUGCUAUGAAUCUUUCUAUUCUACUGGAUCUCUGCUGCUCGUCUUGUAUUAAACCACCUUCUGCUAAUUAGUGAUUCACAGAAUUAAAAGAACCAUUACUGACAUGAGACGUCUUUUACUGUGAGUUAAAGUUAUAAAGACUUAUGUGAUUUAUUAAUGUGCACCUUUGAUACAAAAUUGUAAUAAAAAAAGAUAAAAUAAAUUGAGAUAUUGUUAUUAGUUUGACUUAUCAGUCACCUGACUCGUUAGUGUCGGUGGUCACGUGACUCGUUAGUGUCUGUAGUCACCUGACUCGUUAGUGUCGGUGGUCACGUGACUCGUUAGUGUCUGUAGUCACCUGACUCGUUAGUGUCUGUAGUCACGUGACUCGUUAGUGUCGGUAGUCACCUGACUCGUUAGUGUCGGUAGUCAUGUGACUCGUUAGUGUCGGUGGUCAGGUAAGUCGUUAGUGUCUGUAGUCACCUGACUCGUUAGUGUCUGUAGUCACGUGACUCGUUAGUGUCGGUAGUCACCUGACUCGUUAGUGUCGGUAGUCACCUGACUCGUUAGUGUCGGUGGUCACGUGAGUCGUUAGUGUCUGUAGUCACGUGACUCGUUAGUGUCGGUAGUCACCUGACUCGUUAGUGUCGGUAGUCAUGUGACUCGUUCGUGUCGGUAGUCACCUGACUCGUUAGUGUCGGUAGUCAUGUGACUCGUUAGUGUCAGUGGUCACGUGAGUCGUUAGUGUCGGUGGUCACCUGACUCGUUAGUGUCUGUAGUCACGUGACUCGUUAGUGUCGGUAGUCACCUGACUCGUUAGUGUCGGUAGUCAUGUGACUCGUUAGUGUCGGUGGUCACGUGAGUCGUUAGUGUCGGUAGUCACCUGACUCGUUCGUGUCGGUAGUCACGUGACUCGUUAGUGUCGGUAGUCAUGUGAGUCGUUAGUGUCGGUGGUCAGGUGAGUCGUUGUCAGUACAGAGUCGUGUGAGUCUCUUGAAUCCCUUUUGUCUGCAGAAGUGGACCAGAAGCUUUUCAGCCUUCAUGAGGCGAGUCCUCUGAAGCCGGAGGAUCCACAGCGAUGAAGAAGAAGAACCAGAAGAAGCUUUCAGAUCGGGUUUGGAUUCAUACACAUGAAGCCUCGUGGAGAUCUGAGGUGUGAGUCGGUACACUUUGAGGAAGAGAACCUGGUGUUGGUGGGAACUCUUAAUAGUCUCACGUGCUUCUGUAAUCGCUCUCCACACUGCAGCAGAGAAGCACGAGACUCAUUAAAUCCCUCCAGACCUCCUCAAACAUUCAUUCUGAAAGUCCUACCUGGAGGAGGCCAGAUGCUCGAGUAUCUCGAGUAAAGAUCAUACUAGCUAGUGAUUCAUGGUCUGUAAACCUGUGGAUUACUUUUUCCAUUAGCUGUUUAGUUUAUGAAAAUAAAACAAGUCCUCAAAUCUCUGGUUUGCUCACAACAAUCUGAUAAUAUUCAUAUUUAAGACAACUGGAGACUUUUUACUUUUUGCAUCAAACUGAUUCCUCAACUCAACGGUAGCCGAUAAUUAUACUUGAAUAAA